UAAAAGGUAAAGAUACUCUAGGGAUAACAGCGUUAUUAUUUUGAAAAGUUCAUAUUGAUAAAAUAGUUUGUGACCUCGAUGUUGAAUUAAUGAACCUUUAGCGUGAAGGAGCUUUGAAGGGUGGAUUAUUCCUCCAUUGAAUCAUUACAUGAUUUGAGUUCAGACCGGCGUAAGCCAGGUUGGUUUCUAUCUA
rnacentral:ncRNA from 1 species